rnacentral:rRNA from 1 species
GAUGAACGCUGGCGGCGUGCUUAACACAUGCAAGUCGAACGAUGAAGCCCAGCUUGCUGGUGUGGAUGAGUGGCGAACGGGGGAGUAAUACGUGAGUAACCUGCCCUUGACUCUGGGAUAAGCCCGGGAAACUGGGUCUAAUACUGGAUGCUACAUGUCACCGCAUGGGGGUGUGUGGAAAGGGUUUACUGGUCUUGGAUGGGCUCACGGCCUAUCAGCUUGUUGGUGAGGUAAUGGCUCACCAAGGCGACGACGGGUAGCCGGCCUGAGAGGGUGACCGGCCACACUGGGACUGAGACACGGCCCAGACUCCUACGGGAGGCAGCAGUGGGGAAUAUUGCACAAGGGGCGAAAGCCUGAUGCAGCGACGCCGCGGGAGGGAGGACGGCCUUCGGGUUGUAAACCUCUUUCAGCAGGGAAGAAGCCACAAGUGACGGUACCUGCAGAAGAAGCGCCGGCUAACUACGUG